UACAGAGGGGGCAAGCGUUAUUCGGAAUUAUUGGGCGUAAAGGGCGCGUAGGCGGCUUUUCAAGUGACGGGUGAAAUCCCUCGGCUUAACCGAGGAACUGCCUGUCAGACUGGAAGGCUUGAGACCGGGAGAGGUGAGUGGAAUUCCCAGUGUAGCGGUGAAAUGCGUAGAUAUUAGGAAGAACACCAGUGGCGAAGGCGGCUCACUGGUCCGGUACUGACGCUGAGGUGCGAAAGCGUGGGGAGCAAACAGG
rnacentral:rRNA from 1 species